CCGCCGGGUGCGGUGCGGGGUGGACAGAAGGCCGCGCGGGGCUGCGCCUGCACGCUUCGGGGUGGAAGGCCUGCCCUCCCCCAGAUGCCCCCAGGACCUGUGCCGGGGAGGGCUGGCUGGAGGGCCGGCGUCACCCCAGCGCAGGCACAGUGGUCCAGGGGCGCGGAGGGGACGCGGGGGGAGAGGAACGGAGGAGCGCUUGGGGCGCCAGGGGCCUGCACCCGUAGGUUCCCGGGGAGAGGCUUCCCAUCGCCUCCAGGAAGGCGUUCCAGCGCGCGAGAAAGCGCUGGCACUCCAUCUGCCGCAUUCAGAGGUGGACACCACACCUGUCCUAGUCUUCGAUGUUCUCACCUUCCACGUCCAACUACUUGGAUCAGAUACCACAACCUCCAAGUGGGAGAGAAGGAAAGCUAAAGUGUUCCUGUAUGUCCUUCGACGAUGUGAAAGCAGAUUAUGGUGAGGGAAGAGUCAGGGAGUCAGUGGUUAAAGAUCAGACUCCAUGCAACGAGGGAAAAAUUGCGCUGCUAAUGGUGGACCUUUCUUCGUGAUGAGAAGCAACACUGACCUCAUUCUCUGAGCCUGCUGACAUUUCCUUAAAACCCAAGGAUUUCACGCUUUCUUGUGCCAAGGGAUGGGGCUGGACGGAAUAGAUGAAAUACUUCUAUACACUUAUGUCCUGGAUGAAAUACUUCUACAUACUUAGGUUCUGCUAUGUGUAAAUGUCCUUGUGUCUUCUUCCUUCCCUCUCUCCCUC
rnacentral:lncRNA from 1 species